AGAGUUUGAUCCUGGCUCAGAAUGAACGCUGGCGGCGUGCUUUACACAUGCAAGUCGAGCGAGGCCAGGUAGCAAUACCUGAGUCGAGCGGCGCACGGGUGAGUAACACGUGGAUAACCUGCCUGAGGGUGGGGGAUAACCCGGGGAAACUCGGGCUAAUACCGCAUAACACCGAGAGGUCAAAGGGGGCCGCAAGGCUCUCGCCUGCAGAGGGGUCCGCGUCCCAUUAGCUAGUUGGCAGGGUAAGGGCCUACCAAGGCGACGAUGGUUAGCGGGUCUGAGGGGAUGAUCCGCCACACUGGCACUGGAACACGGGCCAGACUCCUACGGGAGGCAGCAGUGAGGAAUUUCGCACAAUGGGGGAAACCCUGAUGCAGCGACGCCGCGUGAGUGACGAAGGUCUUCGGAUCGUAAAGCUCUGUCAGCAGGGAAGAAAUGUGCGAUGGCUAAUAUCCAUAGUACUUGACGGUACCUGCAAAGGAAGCACCGGCUAACUCCGUGCCAGCAGCCGCGGUAAUACGGAGGGUGCGAGCGUUGUUCGGAUUUACUGGGCGUAAAGGGCGCGUAGGCGGCCUAUCAAGUCAUAUGUGAAAGCCCACGGCUCAACCGUGGAAGUGCAUGUGAAACUGGCAGGCUUGAAUACUGGAGGGGAGUGUGGAAUUCCCGGUGUAGAGGUGAAAUUCGUAGAUAUCGGGAGGAAUACCGGUGGCGAAGGCGACACUCUGGACAGAUACUGACGCUGAGGCGCGAAAGCGUGGGGAGCAAACAGGAUUAGAUACCCUGGUAGUCC
rnacentral:rRNA from 1 species